rnacentral:tRNA from 1 species
UGGGAUCUUAGCUCAGCUGGGAGAGCAUCUGCCUUACAAGCAGAGGGUCAUAGGUUCGAGCCCUAUAGGUCCCAUC